UACAUGGGGUGCAAACGUUGCUCGGAAUUAUUGGGCGUAAAGCGCGCGUAGGCGGUUACUCAAGUCGGAUGUGAAAGCCCUCGGCUUAACUGAGGAAGUGCACCCGAAACUGAGUAGCUAGAGUACUAAAGAGGGUCGCGGAAUUCCCGGUGUAGAGGUGAAAUUCGUAGAUAUUCGGAAGAACACCAGUGGCGAAGGCGACUGACUGGACAAGUAUUGACGCUGAGGUGCGAAAGCGUGGGGAGCAAACAGG
rnacentral:rRNA from 1 species